UCCAGGGUAGCCUAGUGGACAUGGCAUCUGCCCAGUGGGUUCGAUUCCCAUCCCUGGAC
rnacentral:tRNA from 1 species